GAAUAAUUGCGGAUCAAAUCCCUUAGACUGAGGGCUUAAGUAGAAAAAGCCUUUAGAGUACCUAAGAAAAAUAAGUCUUCUUUUCAAAAUUAGACCACUAACUCAUGUCUUCCUUUCUUUUGUAGGAAUGACACGAGGAAGACCAUCUAUAGAGAGUACUGAGCAACCUAAAGUCCUAGAUCACCCAACUAGGGUUGAAUUUACCGAACUCUUCUGAGUUGUCUAAAGACUAACUAUAGCUGU
rnacentral:lncRNA from 1 species